rnacentral:misc_RNA from 1 species
UUCGGUAUCCUGUGUUGCUUACCUAUCGAAAGGAAUCCGACGGUUUCGUUGGUCCCUCUCCGCCCCAUGCCCUCGCGGGUGGUGGGGUGGACGUCAGGCAAGCCUCGUGUUCCCGGCACGCCUCGCCCAGUUGCGUGGCUGCCCAGGCCCACGGGGCGCGUUGCCCGUGCUCUCGGAUGCGGAACGUUGUGCGCGGGCGUGGGGUCUUUUGGCUCCGUCGGCCCGAGCAACGCAUUGGUCCCUCGACACGAACGACCGUCGAACCCGUCUUGAGCACGUCUCAUGCGGGCGUCGGCGUCGCGAAGGAAUGCUACCUGGUUGAUCCUGCCAGUAGUCAUAUGCUUGUCUC